rnacentral:lncRNA from 1 species
UUUAUAAGUGAUGUGGGUUACUGGGCUGCCAUAGUGGGCUAAGCUAAAUGAAUCUUGAUUUGUGAAAUCAAAUUUAUAUAUGAUUAUAUGAGUCGUUCACUUGAACCGAAAUCAGGAUUUGUAAAACCGAAAACUGAAUAACAAUUUGGUUCGCUUUUAAACGAUUUCGGUCAGGUUCGGUUCAUUUAGUUUAAAAUCGAAUAAUGAGCACCCCUAUUUAUUUAUCUUCCGAGUAGGUCGAUUUCACGUUUUUGUUUACAUUUCAUAAAUAUUUAUUUAUAAGUCAUUCUGUGUAUCUAAACCCAACAAUAGUUAGUCUUUGCAAAACAGAACUCAAGUUAUAUCCCUAUAUAACUUCUUUUCUUGGAUUCUAAUCAUUAUUUGAUCCAGGAAAUAGUUUCAUGAGCCAAACCAUGUUUCGGGUCAACCCAACCUGACCCGUUUUGACCUACAAACAAGUACCUAUUUUGACCUGUUAAGUCUACAGACUCCCUUUUUAACAUAUUCAUCCAAAAAUAUACUAGUGUUCAUAACCAACCACAAUUUAUCCUUAAACCAUUUAGAAUUUGCAUCGAGCACAAGUAUAACAAACAACAUAGCAUCUUACGACAUAAGACAAUUUAACACAAAGAAAACAAUACUAUCAUAGUUAUCAAAGGCGCUAGGCUAACUCAAGGCGCAUAGGCCUCGCCUGGGGCGGGCCUAGGCACAAAAAAAAAGCGAGGGCCCAAGAAAAUAAAAGGCGAACAAAGAAAAAGUAAAAAUAUAUUUAUGUAUUAGAAAAAUAAUGAUUUUCUUCAAAUAAAAUAAACAAAAGCUAUUAUAUAGCAUUUAAUAUCAUCUAAUUAGUAUCAAAAGUUUUAAAUUAUAUUAGCGUAUUAGUGUUUAAGAGUAGUUUCCCUUAGAUAAAAGCAGAAAUUUGUCUGGAGUCUUUCUGGAAUCUGUGUCUAAAACAUCACCUAGAGAAUUAAACUGCAAUUGCCUCGCCUCGCCUAAAAAAUGGGCCUAGGCUCAAGAGGCGAUGGCUUUUAACAACUAUGAGUAUAACAGAUAAGUUUUAAAUGAUAUUUAAGCUAUACAUUACAUGAUACUAGAGGGGGCAAUCUUGACCCAAAGCCUUCCAUGUGGGUCAGUUUGGGUUGGUUUUAAAAUUAUAUGGGUUGGUUUGGGUAAGAUAUUUUACCUAAUUGGGUCACAAUGGGUCACUUGAAAUUCCAUCUUGUUAUUUUCGGGUCAAAGCGGGUCGACAACAUUAAAGGAAUGGGUCGAUGUGGGUUAGUGUCUUAAAGAAACGGGUCAGAGCAAAGCACUUGAUCUGUGAUGGGCAGAAUGUCAGCUUGACUAAACAAGUGCAAAAGUGAUCCUUCUCAAACCAAGUCUUUAUUCCUUUUCUUACACAAAUACAUAAUCAAAUCAAGUAACAGCCCUAUUAAUGAUCAUAUUAAAAUGUUAAGUUAAAAAGGGUUAUUCAAUCAAUUCAAGAACCAUUAGUCAGUACAUUAAGUAAUUCUAAAGCCCGAAUAGCAAAGCUAUUGGUAGAGUCUCCAUCCAAGGGAAUAGAGAGGCUGCAAGAGAACCCCGGCUCCAAAACAACAGCUACAUUGAGUAUCUUAACAGAGAACCUAAAAACAAACAGAAUCAUAGACCCUGGAAAUUCCUCUACAUACAGAUUCAUAAAUUUACACUACACUUCAACACUUACAGAUUAAGAACCUCAAAACAACAACUCACAAUCACUAAUUUCAACCAAUCAAAAUCACAUAUCUGUAGCAUUAUGCCCUAACUAGUACACCAACAAAUUUCAAUCAAAUCACAAAGUUCACAAUUCAUAACAUUAAUAAUAAUAAUACUGUAGUUCUGUGUCAUCAUAGAAAAACUCAAAGUCACAAAUUAUGACCUAAUUGCAAGUAACAAUUACAUAGGUUUUUUUUUGUAAUUUCAAUCGAAUCUAGGGUUUAGGUUUACCGGUGUGAAUACAGCGUGGUAGGAUUUGAAAUGGUGCCGGACUUAAAUUCGGCGCCGUGGCUGACUCGCCGGCGGUUACCGGUCGUCUGAUCGGAGACAGUGGUUCAGAUCCCGACGAACACUUUUGCCGGA